rnacentral:rRNA from 1 species
GAUGAACGCUGGCGGCGUGCCUAAUACAUGCAAGUCGAGCGAACAGACGAGGAGCUUGCUCCUCUGACGUUAGCGGCGGACGGGUGAGUAACACGUGGAUAACCUACCUAUAAGACUGGGAUAACUUCGGGAAACCGGAGCUAAUACCGGAUAAUAUAUUGAACCGCAUGGUUCAAUAGUGAAAGACGGUUUUGCUGUCACUUAUAGAUGGAUCCGCGCCGCAUUAGCUAGUUGGUAGGGUAACGGCUUACCAAGGCAACGAUGCGUAGCCGACCUGAGAGGGGGGUCGGCGGCACGAGAACGGGGACGCGGUCCAGACUCCUACGGGAGGCAGCAGUAGGGAAUCUUCCGCAAUGGGCGAAAGCCUGACGGAGCAACGCCGCGUGAGUGAUGAAGGUCUUCGGAGCGUAAAACUCUGUUAUUAGGGAAGAACAAAUGUGUAAGUAACUAUGCACGUCUUGACGGUACCUAAUCAGAAAGCCACGGCUAACUACGUG